rnacentral:rRNA from 1 species
CACCUCUAGCAUUACCAGUAUUAGAGGCACUGCCUGCCCGGUGACACAUACUCAACGGCCGCGGUACCCUGACCGUGCAAAGGUAGCAUAAUCACUUGUUCUUUAAAUAGGGACUUGCAUGAAUGGCACCACGAGGGUUCAGCUGUCUCUUACUUUCAACCAGUGAAAUUGACCUGCCAGUGAAGAGGUGGACAUAAAAUAAUAAGACGAGAAGACCCUAUGGAGCUUUAAUUUAUUAAUGCAAUCAAAAUCAUACAAAUCUACGGACCCUUAAACCACUACAUCUGCAUUAAAGAUUUGGUUGGGGUGACCUCGGAGCAUAACUAAACCUCCGAAUAACCUAUGCUAUGACUACACAAGCCAAAGCGAGCCAACAUCUGUAAUUGAUCCAAUAACUUGAGGAACGGAACAAGUUAUCCUAGGGAUGACAGUGCAAUCCUAUUCUAGAGUCCAUAUUGACAAUAGGGUUUACGACCUUGAUGUUGGAUCAGGACAUCCUAAUGGUGCAGCAGCUAUCAAGGGUUCGUUUGUUCAACGAUUAAAGUCCU